AUGCACGCUGGCGGCGUGCCUAAUCCAUGCAAGUCGAGCGAACAGACGAGGAGCUUGCUCCUCUGACGUUAGCGGCGGACGGGUGAGUAACACGUGGAUAACCUACCUAUAAGACUGGGAUAACUUCGGGAAACCGGAGCUAAUACCGGAUAAUAUAUUGAACCGCAUGGUUCAAUAGUGAAAGACGGUUUUGCUGUCACUUAUAGAUGGAUCCGCGCCGCAUUAGCUAGUUGGUAAGGUAACGGCUUACCAAGGCAACGAUGCGUAGCCGACCUGAGAGGGUGAUCGGCCACACUGGAACUGAGACACGGUCCCGACUCCUACGGGAGGAAGCAGUAGGGAAUCUUCCGCAAUGGGCGAAAGCCUGACGGAGCACAGUCGACUGAGUGAUGAAGGUCUUCGGCUCGUAAAACUCUGUUAUCAGGGAAGAACAAAUGUGUAAGCAACUAUGCACGUCUUGACGGUACCUACUCAGAAAGCCACGGCUAACUACGUG
rnacentral:rRNA from 1 species